rnacentral:rRNA from 1 species
AGAGUUUGAUCAUGGCUCAGAUUGAACGCUGGCGGCAUGCCUAACACAUGCAAGUCGAACGGCAGCACGGUACUAGGUAAAACUAGUAUGGGUGGCGAGUGGCGGACGGGUGAGUAAAGCGUAGGAAUCUAGAAUAGAGAGGGGGAUAACACGUGGAAACGCGUGCUAAUACCGCAUGAAGCUGAAGAGUCAAAAGCAGGGGACCUGAGAGGGCCUUGUGCUCUAUAGUGAGCUUACGUCAGAUUAGCUAGUUGGUGGGGUAAGAGCCUACCAAGGCGAUGAUCUGUAGCUGGUCUGAGAGGACGAUCAGCCACACUGGGACUGAGACACGGCCCAGACUCCUACGGGAGGCAGCAGUGGGGGAUAUUGGACAAUGGGGGGAACCCUGAUCCAGCGAUGCCGCGUGUGUGAAGAAGGCCUUAGGGUUGUAAAGCACUUUAGACGAGGAAGAAGUAGUGAAGGCGAAUAGGGUUUUACUAUUGACGGUACUCGUAGAAUAAGCACCGGCUAACUCUGUGCCAGCAGCCGCGGUAAUACAGAGGGUGCGAGCGUUAAUCGGAAUGACUGGGCGUAAAGGGCGUGUAGGUGGUGAUAUAGGUUUGAUGUGAAAUCCCUGGGCUUAACCUGGGAACGGCGUCAAAGACGAUAUGACUAGAGUGAGACAGAGGGUUGUGGAAUUUCCGGUGUAGCAGUGAAAUGCGUAGAGAUCGGAAGGAACAUCAGAGGCGAAGGCGACGACCUGGGUCUUAACUGACACUGAGGCGCGAAGGCGUGGGGAGCAAACAGGAUUAGAUACCCUAGUAGUCC